rnacentral:rRNA from 1 species
GGGACGGCUGGCGGCGUGCUUACACAUGCAAGUCGAACGCUGAAGCUUGGUGCUUGCACUGGGUGGAUGAGUGGCGAACGGGUGAGUAAUACGUGAGUAACCUGCCCUUGACUCUGGGAUAAGCCUGGGAAACUGGGUCUAAUACUGGAUACGACAUGUCACCGCAUGGUGGUGUGUGGAAAGGGUUCUACUGGUUUUGGAUGGGCUCACGGCCUAUCAGCUUGUUGGUGGGGUAAUGGCUCACCAAGGCGACGACGGGUAGCCGGCCUGAGAGGGUGACCGGCCACACUGGGACUGAGACACGGCCCAGACUCCUACGGGAGGCAGCAGUGGGGAAUAUUGCACAAUGGGCGAAAGCCUGAUGCAGCGACGCCGCGUGAGGGAUGACGGCCUUCGGGUUGUAAACCUCUUUCAGCACGGAAGAAGCGAAAGUGACGGUACGUGCAGAAGAAGCGCCGGCUAACUACGUGCCAGCAGCCGCGGUAAUACGUAGGGCGCAAGCGUUGUCCGGAAUUAUUGGGCGUAAAGAGCUCGUAGGCGGUUUGUCGCGUCUGCUGUGAAAGCCCGGGGCUUAACCCCGGGUGUGCAGUGGGUACGGGCAGACUUGAGUGCAGUAGGGGAGACUGGAAUUCCUGGUGUAGCGGUGAAAUGCGCAGAUAUCAGGAGGAACACCGAUGGCGAAGGCAGGUCUCUGGGCUGUUACUGACGCUGAGGAGCGAAAGCAUGGGGAGCGAACAGGAUUAGAUACCCUGGGUAGUCCAUGCCGUAAACGUUGGGCACUAGGUGUGGGGAACAUUCCACGUUUUCCGCGCCGUAGCUAACGCAUUAAGUGCCCCGCCCUGGGGAGUACGGCCGCAAGGCUAAAACUCAAAGGAAUUUGACGGGGGCCCGCACAAGGCGGCGGAGCAUGCGGGAUUAAUUUCGAUGCAACGCGAGAACUUACCAAGGCUUGACAUAACACCGGACGGGCCAGAGAUGGUCUUUCCCCCUUGGUGGGGCUGGUGUACAGGUGGUGCAUGCUUGUCGUCAGCUCGGUGUCGUGACAUUGUGGGUUAGUCCGCACGAGGCGCAUCUCGUCUAUGUUGCCAGGCACAUGGUGCAUGGGUGGGGAACUUCUUAAU